GAACAUGAGAGUUUGAUCCUGGCUCAGAACGAACGCUGGCGGCAUGCCUAACACAUGCAAGUCGGACGCCGCAGCCGCCUUCGGGUGGCAUGUGGAGUGGCGGACGGGUGAGUAACGCGUAGGAACCUGCCCGGAAGUGGGGGACAACCGCUGGAAACGGCGGCUAAUACCGCAUACGCCCCAAGGGGGAAAGGCUUCGGCCGCUUUUGGAGGGUCCUGCGUUCGAUUAGCUUGUCGGUGAGGUGACGGCUCACCGAGGCGACGAUCGAUAGCUGGUCUGAGAGGAUGAUCAGCCACACUGGGACUGAGACACGGCCCAGACUC
rnacentral:rRNA from 1 species